AACGAACGCUGGCGGCAUGCCUAACACAUGCAAGUCGAACGAGACCUUCGGGUCUAGUGGCGCACGGGUGCGUAACGCGUGGGAACCUGCCCUUAGGUUCGGAAUAACUCCCCGAAAGGGGUGCUAAUACCGGAUAAUGUCUUCGGACCAAAGAUUUAUCGCCUUUGGAUGGGCCCGCGUUGGAUUAGCUAGUUGGUAGGGUAAAAGCCUACCAAGGCGACGAUCCAUAGCUGGUCGGAGAGGAUGAUCAGCCACACUGGGACUGCGACACGGCCCAGACUCCUACGGGAGGGAGCAGUGGGGAAUAUUGGACAAUGGGCGAAAGCCUGAUACAGCAAUGCCGGGUGAGUGAUGAAGGCCUUAGGGUUGUAAAGCUCUUUUACCCGGGAUGAUAAUGACAGUACCGGGAGAAUAAGCUCCGGCUAACUACGUG
rnacentral:rRNA from 1 species